UACGUAGGGACCAAGCGUUGUUCGGAUUUACUGGGCGUAAAGGGCGCGUAGGCGGCGGUGUAAGCAUGGCGUGAAAGCCCCAGGCUCAACCUGGGAGGGUCGUCGUGGACUGCACCGCUUGAGGGCGAUAGGGGCUGGUGGAAUGCCUGGUGUAGUGGUGAAAUGCGUAGAGAUCAGGCGGAACACCCGUGGCGAAGGCGGCCAGCUGGGUCGUCCCUGACGCUGAGGCGCGAAGGCGUGGGGAGCGAACGGG
rnacentral:rRNA from 1 species